UACGAAGGGUGCAAACGUUGCUCGGAAUUAUUGGGCGUAAAGCGCACGUAGGCGGCUCUGUAAGUUGGAUGUGAAAUCCCUCGGCUCAACCAAGGAAGUGCAUCCAAAACUACAGAGCUUGAGUACUUAAGAGGAUCGCGGAAUUCCCGGUGUAGAGGUGAAAUUCGUAGAUAUCGGCAGGAACACCCAGGGGGAAACCAGUCGACUGGGCAUCUACUGACGCUGAGGUGCGAGAGCGUGGGGAGCGAACCGG
rnacentral:rRNA from 1 species